rnacentral:lncRNA from 1 species
UGAUGAAUCUGUUCAAAAAAAUGGUGUGUGUAGAAGGAUUGGGCAAUGACCGUCUUUAAAUAUUGGAGGUUGUUACGGGUGGAAAGCAAAAAAGGAGAGUGUGCGUUUCUGGUUGGGCGUGAUGGAAGAUGAAGAUGAGGGACAUGGGUUGGCGGUAUUGAUAGAGAAAUGGAGAGGUACUAAAAGGUGAAGUUGUUUAUUGUAUAGAACAAAUCAUGGGUAGUAGGGAUUUUUUGAGAGGAAUGGUGUUGAUGAUGGUGAAGACGGUUGUGAGUGAAGCGUGGAAUGAGUGAUGGAGGAAUCAAAAGUUUGAAAAAAAACCAUCAUGGAUGCCAUUGGAGGUGGUUAAGGGUGAGAGGAGUGGAAUCUGUGUGAGGAUCGUUUUAAUCUCAUUUUUUGUCUUGAUAUCCUGAUACCAAACUUCCUCUCUGCCCACAACUGAAUUGCUUUGUGCCAAAUUGCCACCCCCAUUCCCAAUCCGCGUCUGCCAUCAACCAAGUAAUGUUUCCCAGCCAGUCCAAAACGUGCCUGCCAAUUUUGCCAUGCACCUCUGCCAAAACUUUC